UUAUCUUCACAUAUGGAAAGGUUAAGAAGUGCAGUGACAGCAUGCUCUUGGGUGCGAGUGUCGGGUGUUGAGAGGAGGCCCACAAGGAGAGGGAUUGCGCCAGCUUCAGCAAUAGCCACACGAUUAUCUGCAUUCCGCUUGGCAAGAAGGCGGAUCUCACCUGCAGCACAUCGCUGGUCUUCAGGGCUAUCAGAUCUGAGUCUGCGAAGAAGAAUUUCAAUCUUUGCAAACUCAGCAGAUGAGCAGGCAGAUGUGAUUUUGUUGCUGCUAGGUAGUUUUGGGGGUUCAACACCAUUUGCUUCACACCACUGGGCUAUGAGNUAUGAGGCUGCGCAGUACAUAAUUGGGUGUGAUGACAGUACUGUUGAGGGACUGUUGCGUCUUUGGACAUGUGCAAUGUCCUGCUUCCAGCCACUUCCCAAUGCAGGAACGCUCAUAGGUC
rnacentral:misc_RNA from 1 species